GAUGAACGCUAGCGGCAGGCUUAACACAUGCAAGUCGAGGGGUAGAAGUUGCUUGCAACUUUGAGACCGGCGCACGGGUGCGUAACGCGUAUGCAAUCUACCUUAUACAGAGGGAUAGCCCAGAGAAAUUUGGAUUAAUACCUCAUAGUAUAAUUGAAUGGCAUCAUUUAAUUAUUAAAGUUCCAACGGUAUAAGAUGAGCAUGCGUCCUAUUAGCUAGAUGGUAAGGUAACGGCUUACCAUGGCAACGAUAGGUAGGGGUCCUGAGCGGGAGAUCCCCCAAACUGCUACUGAGAAACGGACCAAGCUCCUACGGAAUGAAGCAGUAAGGAAUAUUGGACAAUGGGCGCAAGCCUGAUCCAGCCCAGCCGCGUGCAGAAAACAGCAUCUAUGGUGUGUAAACUGCUUUUGUACGGGAAGAAACACUCCUUCUUGAAGGAGCUUGACGGUACCGUAAGAAUAAGGAUCGGCUAACUCCGUGCCAGCCGCCGCCGUAAUAC
rnacentral:rRNA from 1 species